rnacentral:rRNA from 1 species
CCUACGGGGGUGCAGCAGUGAGGAAUAUUGGUCAAUGGACGAGAUUCUGAACCAGCCAAGUAGCGUGAAGGAUGACUGCCCUUUGGGUUGUAAACUUCUUUUAUAAAGGAAUAAACCGAGGCACUUGUUCCUUUUUGCAUGUACUUUCUGAUUAAGGAUCGGCUACCCCCGUGCCAGAAGCCGCGGUAAUACGGAGGAUCCGAGCGUUAUCCGGAUUUAUUGGGUUUAAAGGGAGCGUAGAUGGGUUGUUAAGUCAGUUGUGAAAGUUUGCGGCUCAACCGUAAAAUUGCAAUUGAUACUGGCAGUCUUGAGAACAGUUGAGGUAGGCGGAAUUCGUGGUGUAGCGGUGAAAUGCUUAGAUAUCACGAAGAACCCCGAUUGCGAAGGCAGCUUACUAAACUGUGACUGACAUUGAUGCUCGAAAGUGUGGGUAUCAAACAGGAUUAGAUACCCUGGUAGUC